AGUAUUUCAAUUCUGAUUAAGUAGAUAUUUUUUCUUUUUGGGGAUGAGUUGGUGCUGUUUUUUCAUGGCUUGAGUUCAUAUGGGCAAUGUGGAAUGAGGAAUGUGCAGGUUCAUGAAGUAUAUAAACCAGCCUAAUACUUUGGAAGGAAAAAUGACAUGUUAUACAAAUAUACACUAGUAGUAUUGAAGUAACCAAACCAAAGAUUUAGCAACAGAUACACAAGCUUCAACAUUUCGGUGGGUUCACGUACGGCACAGUAUAUGUAUAGUUGAUAAUUCUACAAAUAUUUGGUGGGGGGAUUGCGUUGAGUAGACUAGACAGGGAGUCAAGGCUUAGCUUCUGGAGGCGGGGCUGGAGCCCCAUAAACCUGAGGAACAGUAGAAGAAGAAGAAGCUUGAGAUCUUCCUCGAUUCCUUCCAAGAAGGUAACACGCCAGCCCCACUAUGAAUAUAAACAGUAUCAUCGGCACCGAUAUCACGAACACAAACCCCAUCCCUAGCUUCCUUCUUCUAUUCCGCCUUCCGAAAACCAAGCCCUGUAGAAGAAGAAGAAGCAAUCAAAUACGUCUUUUUAUGGAACAAUCGAUAAAUUGGUGAUGAUAACAACGGUUUAUGUUGUUGCUUCCUCUAACAGUAACAGAUCUAAGAUCUGCAACACAAACUUCAACUUUCGACCUGGCGAUCGUCAUGAAGUAUUAUAAUAAGCUUAAAAUUAGGGGGAAGUCAAAGUCAACGCACCUGAUUCAAUUCCGCGAAUGGGUGGCGCGGCGGACCUAAGAAUGGAAUUGCGGCGGAUUAGAUUUACCGGCAGCCAAUACUACGGCAGAGGCGCGGGCCUGAACCAGGAAUAAUCUGUGGCCGAGGGAAAUAAAAUACAAUACGAUACAUGAGAGAAAGAUAAAUAAGGUGGAAUUAAAGAUGAAUUAGUUGAUUGGGUUAUAGUUAUAUCAGAUGGCACGUGGUACCAUCCAGUCGUGUCACGCCUAUCGGGACGUCCAACUAGGCUGCCGCUACUGACGUGGUUGGUUCCACAACGCUCUUCCACGCAGCUGAUUUCUCUUUUAACUCUUUUGUAAGUUCAUAAAGUUGUUUAUCUGGC
rnacentral:lncRNA from 1 species